ACAGCGCGUGAGGAGAAGCGGGGUGCUGUGAGGGAAAGGCGGCGGCGGAGGCGGCGUCGAUGGCGGCCACGAUAAACUUGGCCACUCUGCCCAACUCUGUGAUCCCCCGCAGCUCCAACUGGAAGGACACCAUGCGUCAGUGAGGAGCUGCUGCGAGAGGCAGGAGCAAGCAAGAGGAUGUGGAAGCGUGCAGACGCGGGGGGGAAGGAGAGAGGCUCCCUGGGCAAAGCACCCGUCCCAUUAGCGGGGCGGCAGUCACAUUUAGUCCCAUUUGAGUUUGAGCGUUGCCGGCGCCUUGGCCGGCUUUGUGCUGGGCGACCUCCCUGUAAGCAGGGCUCGGGUCUUUGCUUUUGCUGUAGUUGGCCUUUUGCCUUGCUGCUCCUUUGGCUGCCUGGGGAGCGUGGGCCCCUGUAACGCAGGGCGAGAGCCACCUCUCCGCACCUGAGUGGGAAAUGGAGCUCGCCGGACCCCGAGGCCACCCUGUAAGCAGGGUAGUGCCGUUUCCCCGCCCCUCUUCCUCCUGCGGCCCCUCGGCAUCAUCGUUGCCUGGAGGUGGCCUGUCAAUGCGAUGCGACGGCCCCGUACUCGGGGUGUGCGUCACGGCAUCUGGCCUUUGGCUUUAGCUGGGAAGCCCCUUGGCACGUUGAGGUCUGUGGCCUCCGUGCAGGCUAGGGACAGGUCACAGGCUCUUGUGUGUUGCCCGCGGUUGUGGGUUUAUUCCCAGGGUUUGGCUGCGCUGGGUUGUCCUUCCCUUUGGGAAAGUCGCCUGUGUGUGUGCGCGUUGCCCUUC